rnacentral:rRNA from 1 species
UACGUAGGGUGCAAGCGUUGUCCGGAAUUAUUGGGCGUAAAGAGCUCGUAGGCGGUUUGUCGCGUCUGCUGUGAAAACCCGAGGCUCAACCUCGGGCCUGCAGUGGGUACGGGCAAACUAGAGUAUUGCAGGGGAGACUGGAAUUCCUGGUGUAGCGGUGAAAUGCGCAGAUAUCAGGAGGAACACCGGUGGCGAAGGCGGGUCUCUGGGCAAUAACUGACGCUGAGGAGCGAAAGCGUGGGGAGCGAACAGG